rnacentral:rRNA from 1 species
AGACCCGAAACCCGGUGAUCUAGCCAUGGGCAGGUUGAAGGUUGGGUAACACUAACUGGAGGACCGAACCGACUAAUGUUGAAAAAUUAGCGGAUGACCUGUGGCUGGGGGUGAAAGGCCAAUCAAACCGGGAGAUAGCUGGUUCUCCCCGAAAGCUAUUUAGGUAGCGCCUCGUGAAUUCAUCUCCGGGGGUAGAGCACUGUUUCGGCUAGGGGGCCAUCCCGGCUUACCAACCCGAUGCAAACUGCGAAUACCGGAGAAUGUUAUCACGGGAGACACACGGCGGGUGCUAACGUCCGUCGUGAAGAGGGAAACAACCCAGACCGCCAGCUAAGGUCCCAAAGUCAUGGUUAAGUGGGAAACGAUGUGGGAAGGCCCAGACAGCCAGGAUGUUGGCUUAGAAGCAGCCAUCAUUUAAAGAAAGCGUAAUAGCUCACUGGUCGAGUCGGCCUGCGCGGAAGAUGUAACGGGGCUAAACCAUGCACCGAAGCUGCGGCAGCGAACGUAUCACCCAAGACAACUUUACGGAGUUGACGAUUGACGGAGCGAAGCGACGUCAAAGCGUUCAUUAAAGUCGAGUUGGCUUAGGGAUACGUUCGUUGGGUAGGGGAGCGUUCUGUAAGCCUGUGAAGGUGUGUCGUGAGGCAUGCUGGAGGUAUCAGAAGUGCGAAUGCUGACAUAAGUAACGAUAAAGCGGGUGAAAAGCCCGCUCGCCGGAAGACCAAGGGUUCCUGUCCAACGUUAAUCGGGGCAGGGUGAGUCGACCCCUAAGGCGAGGCCGAAAGGCGUAGUCGAUGGGAAACGGGUUAAUAUUCCCGUACUUGGUGUU